UACAGAGGUCUCAAGCGUUGUUCGGAUUCAUUGGGCGUAAAGGGUGUGUAGGUGGCGCCGUAAGUCGGGUGUGAAAUUUCGGAGCUUAACUCCGAAACUGCAUUCGAUACUGCGGUGCUUGAGGACUGGAGGGGAGACUGGAAUUCAUGGUGUAGCAGUGAAAUGCGUAGAUAUCAAGCGGAACACCGGUGGCGAAGGCGGCCUUCUGGACAGUGACUGACGCUGAGACGCGAAAGCGUGGGGAGCAAACAGG
rnacentral:rRNA from 1 species